GGAAAAUAUUGUGACACAUUUUUAAAUAUAUAGGACAGAUCUAAAUCUGUCUAAACAUAGCCUAAAAGUCUUAUCCCUUCAUCUCAAGUUUUUGCAUUUAAUUCAAAGUAAGGCUAACAUUUCUUCUUAAAUUUAUGUUCCUGAGCAAUAUUCUAAUCUGUUUAUCAUGGACGAUAAAAUAAAGUCAUUAAAAGGUGUAUGUGUGUGUGUUUGUGUGUGUGAGGAGACUAGAAGUAUUGCUUCAUUUUCUAACAUUUUUAAAACCAAGUUUUGAUUUUGUUUUGUUUUCAGAACUCCUUCUUUCUAUUGUGGGAUCGCUGGGGUUUUUAAAAUUUUUUUCCCUGCUAUGGAGUCAGCUAGUUCCUGGUCAGAGGCCCCAAAAUGCAGUUCAGUAUGAUUUAACAGAGCUCUGGAUAAUGACUUUAAAUGAAUACUGUCCAUUCUGUGGGCAUUGAAAUUGGGGACUGUCAGCAAAGCAGAUAAGUCAAUUUUAAGGAUUCUCUAGGGGAGCUGCAAGAGUUCCUCUCACUGUUGAUGGCAUAUCCUGUUCACAGCUUCAGCCUUUAGAAAUGCUUUGAUUCAGCAGCAAGUUGGAGCUUUUAAACACUCCAAUGGGCCUUUGUUGGCAACUGCUCUGCCUGUGUGCACAGAGGGCUCAUUCUUCCACAAAGGGCCAGACAGCCUGUUGAUGGGCCAAACCAGUUUACACUGAUGUUGCUCGUGGGAGGGAGAAGACAGCAAGCAAGCAUGGAUCAGUGUAGCCUAUAAAGGUGCCAUUUAUCCCUUUUCAGCUUAGUAUCCUCUUCCCCCAGAGCAUGGCACCUUCAGUGUGCCUCUUGUUUAAUGGCCUUCGAGCUGCAAUUCUCAGAGACCAAAAUACCUCUGACACUCCUCUAAAAUGAAUUCCUGAAUAUACAACAGAGGCUGUUACAAGGUGCCGUCCCCAAUGUCCCUUGGGGGAAAUGCUUUGUGGAGAAAGUAAUGUCAUCACACACCCCUCCACACACCCACCUUUCUCUUUGAUCUUAGUGUUUACCUGUGGCUUAUUGGUACCAAGACAAACUGGGUAUUGAGCAUUUGACUUUGAAAUAGGUCUGGUUCUCCAAUAGGCAUUCUUUGAAGUCAGAUCCAUUAUGCAUUGUUUAUUGCCCUUUCAAACAUACCCACAUGUAUUUCUAAGACCAAGGCUCUUCUUUAUUCAUUCAAAAGAAACACUGGAGUUUGUUGCCAUAUUGGCUAUCCUUUGAUAUUUUUAAAAUGAGAGAAAUAAUAUCUCUGGAGUCCAUUUUGUCCACUUACAAAUUAUUUUAACAAUAUAUGUUAAGGGCAAUUUUACAUUCUCUCUAUCCCAUUACUAUCUUCCAAAACACAAUUAUAUGUCAAUUGAAUGACUCAGAACUUCUUCUGCCCAAGUAAUAAAUCAUAAGUGUAAUGGGUAAAAAGAAUUUGU
rnacentral:lncRNA from 1 species